GACGAACGCUGGCGGCGUGCUUAACACAUGCAAGUCGAACGGAAAGGCCCUGCUUUUGUGGGGUGCUCGAGUGGCGAACGGGUGAGUAACACGUGAGUAACCUGCCCUUGACUUUGGGAUAACUUCAGGAAACUGGGGCUAAUACCGGAUAGGAGCUCCUGCUGCAUGGUGGGGGUUGGAAAGUUUCGGCGGUUGGGGAUGGACUCGCGGCUUAUCAGCUUGUUGGUGGGGUAGUGGCUUACCAAGGCUUUGACGGGUAGCCGGCCUGAGAGGGUGACCGGCCACAUUGGGACUGAGACACGGCCCAGACCCCUACGGGAGGCAGCAGGGGGGAAUAUUGCCAAAGGGGGGGAAGCCUGAUGCAGCAACGCCGCGGGCGGGAUGACGGCCUUCGGGUUGUAAACCGCUUUCGCCUGGGACGAAGCGUGGGUGACGGUAAUGGGGAAAGAAGCACCGGCUAACUACGU
rnacentral:rRNA from 1 species